rfam:Stegodyphus mimosarum contig79816, whole genome shotgun sequence.
GGCUCGGUGGUCUAGAGGUAUGAUUCUCGCUUCGGGUGCGAGAGGUCCCGGGUUCAAUUCCCGGCCGAGCCC